CUGAUGUCACCUGUGAUGACCAAGUCUUAUUUUUAUUUUCUUCCUCUUUUAUUUUAUUUUUUUUAUUGCAUUUUGUUUUGUUAUGGGGCCUAGGUUGACUAAUAGGUAAGAUAUGUGUGGAUAGGAAUGUGUGUGAUAUGUAUAUGUGUGUUUGUAUAGAGAGAGAAAGUGGAAUAAAAGUCCAAAAAUCCUCUCACUCUCCUACUUCACCGACACACUUUCUUCUCUCUCCCAUUCUUUUAUUUUUCAUUUUACUUCAACCAUUUCUCCAUCAUUUGAGAUUUUGAGCUUGCAUAGAAGGAAAAUUGACGGGGACUACGAGAGGAACAAAACCCCUCAAUCAAUUUUGGAUUUGGAGCACAUUUUUCUUUUGGAGUAGCUAGGGUUUGCUCCAAGCUUGAGAUAGGGGUGUAUUGUGCUUAUAACCUAGGAGUUCUUGGAAUUUUAUGACCAUUGUAAAAAGGCAUUGCCCAAGAGGAGGUUCCUCAUUCCUAGCUUGAUUGGGAUCUUGACAACAUUUUUGAGCUACUUGUGAUAAUUGUGACAUCCAUUGUAUAGCUUACUUUUGGACUUGUAUUUUGACACAUGGUGUAUUUUGGAUAUUAUAUUUGAUGACAUAUUUGUAAUAUUCUUUUGGAAGAGGGAAAUGACGUAGGAACUCACCCAUCUAUCUUUUGGAGUUCUUAUGGAAUUUCCUCUCUUAUCUUUACUUAUGUAAUCCCUUAAUAUUAUUUCUCACCUUAUGGAUUGUAAUGAGGCCAUGGUGGCCAUGACUUAUAUAGUGGGAUUGAACAAUUAUUGUUUAAA